AACUGCGACCCCCAGG
rnacentral:rRNA from 1 species